UCUUCAUUUCCCACACUCUCUCACCGGUCAGAGAGGCGAGAGAGUGUGGGAAAUGAAGAGA
rnacentral:pre_miRNA from 1 species